UACGUAGGGUGCGAGCGUUGUCCGGAAUUAUUGGGCGUAAAGAGCUUGUAGGCGGUUUGUCGCGUCUGCUGUGAAAAUCCGGGGCUCAACCCCGGACUUGCAGUGGGUACGGGCAGACUAGAGUGUGGUAGGGGAGACUGGAAUUCCUGGUGUAGCGGUGAAAUGCGCAGAUAUCAGGAGGAACACCAGCGGCGAAGGCGGCGCUCUGGGCCGGUACUGACGCUGAGGAGCGAAAGCGUGGGGAGCAAACAGG
rnacentral:rRNA from 1 species